GCCCCAGUAGCUUAGCCUAAAAGCGUCGGUCUUGUAAUCCGAAGAUCGGAGGUUCGAAUCCCCCCUGGCGCA
rnacentral:tRNA from 1 species